UUAUUGGGAUCAAGAGGCUUUAAGAGAAUGAAUGCCCAUAGAUACAUUCCUUAUUGGAUUGACGUGUGAAUUAAAAUAAGAGACAAUCUCAAAACCUUACCUUAUGGAAUCAAUUCAGAUUGGAAGAGAAUUAAAUGAAGGAAUACCUUCCUUAUUUGAAUAAAACAUGUGUUGGGCAUGUAAUUCAAGGCAUUCAAGACAAAGCUCAUUCAAGAAAGGCAAGUCAUCAAGGCUCAUCCAAGUAGGCGUGCGAAUCUCCAUCAUUUCAAAUCAGAUUUGCAAAGAUACAAUGCCAUCAUUUCAUUUAAGUAAUCCCACGACCAAGGCAUAUAAAAUCAAGAGUUAAUUCACCAAUCAAGAUAUUUGAGGAAUCUGUCCACAUUCAAACUCAGCCAUGCAAGGAACAAAUAAGCACAUGGCUGAAUAUUGAAAGGGAUUUCGCCUAACUCCAUGCCAAAACAAAUCAGCCAUUAAACUCCCACUAAAGACC
rnacentral:lncRNA from 1 species